UACGAAGGGUGCAAACGUUGCUCGGAAUUAUUGGGCGUAAAGCGCACGUAGGCGGCUUAGCAAGUCCCAUGUGAAAGCCCACGGCUCAACCGUGGAAGUGCAUGGGAAACUGCUGAGCUUGAGUACUUAAGAGGAUCGCGGAAUUCCCGGUGUAGAGGUGAAAUUCGUAGAUAUCGGAGGAACGACCAGCGGCGGAGGCGAGCGG
rnacentral:rRNA from 1 species